ACGUUCGCCUCCGGUCAAUGGGACAGAGUACAGCCUGGCUCUGGCUCUACCGAGAUACAGUGAGCACUUCAUUCAAGCCAAACUGGGAGACGACUUGAAAAACGCUAUAUCUUCUUCUUGGGGCAAGUACUCACUAUUCUCUGUAUUCUGUGAUCAUCACUCUUUGGGAUGCUCUUCCAUAAGCAUGAUUGUCCUCA